UACGGAGGUGGCAAGCGUUGCUCGGAAUCACUGGGCGUAAAGGGCGCGUAGGCGGGGAGGUAAGUCGGGUGUGAAAUCCCGUCGGCCCAACCGAGGAACUGCGCCCGAGACUGCUUCUCUUGAGUCCCGGAGAGGAAGAUGGAAUUCCCGGUGUAGCGGUGAAAUGUGUAGAGAUCGGGAGAACACCGGUGGCGAAGGCGGUCUUCUGGACGGUGACUGACGCUGAGGCGCGAAAGCGUGGGGAGCAAACGGG
rnacentral:rRNA from 1 species